CAAGAUAAAUUGGACGCGAUUGACCAUACAUGCGAAAAGGGAGGGUCUGACGCGGAAAUAACCCUCAAGAACCCAGGUAUAGGGCUUGCCAAACAGUGUCGCUUCAAAGCCAAUGAACUUGGCUUGAAACGUCGUCGCUUUAUGCACCCUCACAGACCAAAAACAAAACCCUAAAUGGGACUCCUUCCCCUUUCUUUUUUUUUCAAAAAACCAAAGUAAACAAACAAACAAAAAAAACAAAAGCCUAUUGCUCCCAUUCGGCCGACCCCAGGAUCCGCGCAGUCCAACCGCCACCACUGCGAACGGUGGAGAACCACAUGCGUGCCCCUCGCCUAGAACCUCGGCUUAAAGACCACCGAUUUCAGCCCUAGAAAUCCCACCCCAAGCUUCGAUUUCGGUGAAGUGGAGAGGGAUUUCAAUGGCCCAUUCGUACAGGUACGGAGCAGAGGACAUGUGCUGGCCCUUGGCGCGAGGCGUACGGGGCUAUGCUGGCGCAGGUACGGGGGCUGCACUGGAGGGUACGGAGGUAGCUGGCGUGAGGGCUGGGGCUUGGCUGCCUGGUUGCGGUGCAAAAGUGGGGAAGAAACCUUAGGGUUUCUGUCCUCUAAACAAUGGGCUUAUCGGGCUUGUGGUUUGGGUCUAUGUUUAGUUAUUGGGCUUGUUUGGGACUUGGGUUAUGUAGUUGGGUUUGGGUCUGUUAUAAACCUGGACUAUUGUAUUGGUUUGGUUUAAUUUUUUUAUUUUUUAUUAUUUAUUUAUUUUGUAUAUAUUUUGGUUUCUAGUGGGCCCGAGCAAAUUUGGCCCACUACAAACACCAUUAAAACUCAUUCAAAUAAACUUUAUAAUCAUCUCUAACCCAGAUAA